GACGAACGCUGGCGGCGUGCUUAACACAUGCAAGUCGAACGGAAAGGCCCUGCUUUGUGGUGGAGCGCGGGGUGCGAACGGGUGACUUGCACAUAGGUACCCAGCCAUUGACUUAGAGAUAACUUAAGGACACUAAGUCUAAUACCACCAAGGAUCUCCUGCUGCUCGGUGGGGGUGGGUAUGAUUAGGCGGUUGGGGAUGUACCCGCGGCUUAUCGGCUUGUUGGUGGGGUAGUGGCUUACGAAGGCUUUGACGGGUGGCCGGCCUGAGAGGGUGACCGGCCACACUGGGACUGAGAUACGGCCCAGACUCCUACGGGAGGCAGAAGUGGGGAAUAUUGAACAAUGGGCGGAAGCCUGAUGCAGCAACGCCGCGUGAGGGAUGACGGCCUUCGGGUUGUAAACCGCUUUCGGCUGUGACGAAGCGUAAGUGACGGUAAUGGGUAAAGAAGCACCGGCUAACUACGUG
rnacentral:rRNA from 1 species